GUAAAAAUUACACGGACGGCAACAUGUUUGCGACGGUGAAAGAGAAGAUAGGAGCGGACACCGCGCGUGUUGACAAUAAUGGAGGCCGCGGUGAAAGCAGCUGAGGUGCUAGCAACCCCCCAGCCCGGCGUUGAAGACGCGUGCCCAGAGGAAGGCUCCUCGCCUCAGGCAGCGUCCAUACCCACUGUCCAGGCUCUGCUGGACCCCAUGGAGGAUCUGAGCCGAAAACUGGAGGACAUUCUGAAGACCUAUGGUACCGCUGACACCGCUGUCAACCUACAGGAGACUGGCUGACGUCACCAGGCUAAUUUUGGCCAACAGAUCCGUCAACACUGGCCUGUAGCUGGUCAUCUGACCAUAAGACUGACGAACCGUGGGACAUUUAUUUUGCUAUGGUGAUCCCAUUGAUAGAGAGGUAGAGCAAAUGAUAAUGCUCAAAUGUUUUUAAGUUAAACUCUAAUUAAAAAGUGAGUUUAUGCAGAAGGUGCUUAGACCUAACCUAGCUACAAACAAACUCAUUUGGUUCAGUAUUGUAAGAACUUUUGUGUGAAUCGUGUCAUUGUUUUCUUUAAUUUUUCUGAGUAGUGUGUGACACUAUCUUUGUUCAAACUUUAG
ensembl:lncRNA